rnacentral:lncRNA from 1 species
CUGGACUUCACUGGUGAAUGCUAUUAAACAUUUAAAGAAUUAAUACCAAUGUUUCACAAACUUUUCCAAUAAAUAGAUGAAGAAGGAAAACUUUCCAAUUCAUUUUAUGAACCCACUAUUAUCCUGAUGACAAAUGCGUCACAAGAAAAGAAAACCACACACUAAUAUCUCUUAUGAUAUAGAUGCAAAAAUCCUCCACGAUAUACUGGCAAACUAAAUUCAGCAACAUAUAAAAAGGGUAUUAUACACUAUGACCAACUGAGACUUAUCCUACAAAUAUAAGAAUGGUAUAACUUCAGAUAGUCAAUUAACGUAUUACACCAUAUCAUAGGAUAAAACAAAAUACAUGAUCAUCUCAACAGCUGCAGCAAAAACAUCUGACAAAACUCCAACAUCCCUUCAUGAUUAAAAGAAAAAAACCAAAACUCUCAACAUACUAGGAAUAAAAGGAAACUUCCUCAAAAAGCAUCUCUAAAAAACCCACAACUAACAUCAUAGUUAAUGGUGAAAGACUGGAUGUUUCCCCUCUAAGAUGAGGAACAAGAUGAGGAUGUCCUCUUUCACCAUAUCUAGUCAACAUUGUACUAGAGAUUCUAGUCAUGGCAACUGGGCAAGAAAAAUAAAUAAAAAGCAUCCAGAAUGGAAAGGAAGAUGACAUGAUCUUGUGUAUAAAAUCCUAAGGAAUCCACCAAAAAACUAUUAGAACUAUUAAAUGAGUUCAGCAAGGUUUCAGGACACAAGAUCAAUAACUAAUCAAUUAUAUUUCUACAUACUUGUAAUGAGCAACUCAAAAAUGAAAUUAAGACAACAAUUCCAUCUAUAAUAGCAUCAAAAAAUAAAACAUUUAGGAAUAAAUAUGACACAAUAAAUAUAAAACUUACAUACUCUUAAACCAUAAAACAUUGUUUAAAAAAAAUUAAAGAAGAACUGGCCUGGUGUGGUGGCUCACACCUGUAAUCCCAGCACUUGGGGAGGCUGAGGUGGGCCUGAGCCACCACGCCCGGCUGGAAUUCACUUUCGAAACUGAUCAUUUAGGUUUUCCUUUUAAGUUUCUUUAGCCAUGAGCUAUACCCAAAUAAAAAUACCCAUCCUCCUUUAACUAGGAGUUUCCUUCCUAUUUGCUCAUUUCAGCUCAUCCACUUUUCUUGCUCAAAAGCCUUAAAAAAAAUUUAUUUUUUUUUUGAGAUGGAGUCUCAUACUGUUGCCGGGCCUAGAGUGCAAUGGUGCGAUUUUGGCUCAC